GUAACUUAAAAAAAACUGUUUGAAUGGUAGUCAGCCAUUUUACACCAGCAGCAAAAUGAAUCCCGAACACCCCACCUAUUUAUCCCCUUUUGCUAGGGUUUUGGCCUCAAUCUUGGGGAGGUGAUUGAACGCCGCCAUACCACCAUCGAACUUGGUGGCUGACCACGCGCAGGAGGGACGCGAUGAGAGGCUGUAGCCGUCCAAAUAUGGUCCGAGUAAACAUGACAAGAGAAGGAUGAGAGUCUGUAGAGGAGUACACGACUUGGCUUCAAGAUUCAAGCCAACAAAGAUUAUUCUGGAAUCGUCAACGUCAACUUAUUUAAAGAAGCUGACGAGCAUCAAGAGGAAGAGUGAGCAAUGAGCCGUAGCCCAAAUCAAGCAAAAAGGAGAUAAUUCACAAGAUUUGAUUUUAACGUUCGAAUAUGAAGAAAAAGAUCGAUGUCUUCGCAUGGAGUAUACGAGCAAGGCCGUACAUGUUUCCGCUUUAUGUAAAGAGAUUUGUUAUCUAAAAAAGUUGUUCUAACAGAAUUGAACCAGAA